rnacentral:tRNA from 1 species
AGACACUUAGGUUAAUUUAAACCAGGGGCCUUCAAAGCCCCAAACAAGCGGUACAACGCUUAGUAUCUG